UUUGAAAUUUUAAUAACUCAUUCAAAUCCUAAUCAUAUGUAUACACUUUUCAUAGCAAAGGACCAAUAAUCAUUGAAAAAGAAACAGAAUCGUCCUUAUCAUAUUCAUCCACUUCAUUUUCAAAUAAUUAAUUUAUGAAGGCACAAGUUAGGUAAUUUACUGCAGAUGAGUCACAUGUCCAUUUUUUCAAUGAAGAAGGAUAUGAUGUCCCUGCUAUAACAUUGUCACAAUCCUAAAGCCUGUUAAUAGACACACAAUGUAAUAGCUCUUGAUUGCAAUAACUUCUGUCAUUUUUAUAAGCUUUGAAAAUGCAUCAAUAGUAUUCAGUAUUUUGGAAAGUGCCAUAACCUUCAGUAUCUAUUAUUAACAAAAAUCAUUAACAGUAGAUCAGAAUUGAAACUACAAAUUCAUUGAUCAAAUUGAAGGUUUAAAGAUGGUUAAAAUACAGCUAAGGAAUGCACGUCACAAGUAUUAAUGUAUUGAAAACUGUUGUGAGAAUUGAGCUUGCUUUCAGCGAUUUCCUUGUGCUUCAUGCAGUGUGUAAACUGUGCAUAUUACAGGGGAGAUUUCAUCAUACAUGUAUAUUACGCUAACCAUGUAUCAGAAUUUAUGCAGAGUAUUCACAACUUGUCUCAGCAGGAUAUACGUAGAAAAUUUAAGCUAUGAUUGUCUCAUAUAAUAUUCCCAUAUAUCUGGCAGCAUUCCUUUAAAAGUCAACCAGGUCAGUAGACCUAUUUAGCCAGACAAUAUAUCUUAUCAAACAACAGCAAAUCUUGGGGUGAUAAUAAAAGUUUUGAAGGAAACUGUAAUCUCUACAUUGCAAAAAGAAAACCUAAGAAAGGAAUACCAUCAAAGGGAUUUACAAGUCACAGCAAACUCAGACUUGUAAAUAUUAUCAAGGGUAAAAAUCAUUUCUGUUUGGUGCAAUUUUGUCCAUUCAUGUCAUGUAAAUGUAGUUCAUUUCAUUAUUGAUUUGUAUCAACAGCAUAUCAAGUUUUCAACUGAUCAUACUCGUUCAAACUCGCAAAACAUCAACCAACUCAACUUACUUUAUUUACAUCUCUUCAUAAUUUUAACAGAAGAAUUUUUUUCCCCUUUAAAUGCAUUAUGUACAACACAAUGGGCAUUUACUGGUGUACUCAAGUCUGUUCAAAAUGUACAUCUUACAGUAUAUUAAGUAUAUUAUUAGCUUACUAGGUAGAUACAGUAUGUCUGGUUUUACUUUGUGUUCCAAUUCCAAGUUUUUGAUAUUACCUUAUAUAAUAAUUCACUAUAGUAGUUAGAUUUUUUAAUGCAAACUGUUUGCAUGAAAGUGAAAUCACAGCUUCAGAUCUAUAUACAAUGUAUGUGUAUUAGAAGUACUCUGGAUUAAUCUUCUUUACAGUCAGUGUGAUGCGUUUUAGAAAAAAUCUAUGUUUGUAUAGUUGUGAUGUCAAGUUUGUAAUUGUAGAUUUAUGCUUUAAUGGAGGAAAAUCUCUUAUUAUAAGUGCUGUGUUAUUACAUUGUACAUGUAUGUUAACAAAAGUUGAAUUGUUGAAAUAAAAUUAUUAAACA
rnacentral:misc_RNA from 1 species